rnacentral:tRNA from 1 species
CGCCGGGUGGCGCAAUUGGUAGCGCAGCGGGUUUUGAUCCCGUUGGUUGCGGGUUCGAGUCCCGCCCCGGUUGCCA